CCCUUAGAUGUUCUGGGCUGCACGCGCGCUACACUGAUACUUUCAGCGAGUCCACCACCUUGCCUGGGAGGGUGGGGUAACCUCUGGAAAGUGCAUCGUGAUGGGGAUCGAUUAUUGCAAUUUUCGAUCUUGAACGAGGAAUUCCUAGUAAGCGUGAUUCAUCAGAUCGCGUUGAUUACGUCCCUGCCCUUUGUACACACCGCCCGUCGCUACUACCGAUUGAAUGGUUUAGUGAGGCCUCGGGACUGGCGCGCUCGAGUAGCAAUACACCUGCGCGCCGGGAACUUGGUCAAACUUGAUCAUUUAGAGGAAGUAAAAGUCGUAACA
rnacentral:rRNA from 1 species